GAGUUUGAUCAUGGCUCAGAACGAACGCUGGCGGCGUGGAUAAGACAUGCAAGUCGAACGGGAGAAUUGCUAGCUUGCUAAUAAUUCUCUAGCGGCGCACGGGUGAGUAACACGUGAGUAACCUGCCCCGAGAGCGGGAUAGCCCUGGGAAACUGGGAUUAAUACCGCAUAGUAUCGAAAGAUUAAAGCAGCAAUGCGCUUGGGGAUGGGCUCGCGGCCUAUUAGUUAGUUGGUGAGGUAACGGCUCACCAAGGCGAUGACGGGUAGCCGGUCUGAGAGGAUGUCCGGCCACACUGGAACUGAGACACGGUCCAGACACCUACGGGUGGCAGCAGUCGAGAAUCAUUCACAAUGGGGGAAACCCUGAUGGUGCGACGCCGCGUGGGGAAUGAAGGUCUUCGGAUUGUAAACCCUGUCAUGUGGGAGCAAAUUAAAAAGAUAGUACCACAAGAGGAAGAGACGGCUAACUCUGUGCCAGCCGCCGCGGUAAG
rnacentral:rRNA from 1 species